rnacentral:rRNA from 1 species
UACAGAGGUCUCAAGCGUUGUUCGGAUUCAUUGGGCGUAAAGGGUGCGUAGGCGGCGCGGUAAGUCGGGUGUGAAAUCUUGGAGCUUAACUCCGAAACUGCAUUCGAUACUGCCGUGCUUGAGGACUGGAGAGGAGACUGGAAUUUACGGUGUAGCGGUGAAAUGCGUAGAUAUCAGGAGGAACACCUGUGGUGUAGACGGCUCUCUGGACAGUAACUGACGCUGAGACACGAAAGCGUGGGUAGCAAACAGG